rnacentral:rRNA from 1 species
CCUACGGGAGGCAGCAGUGGGGAAUAUUGGACAAUGGGCGCAAGCCUGAUCCAGCCAUGCCGCGUGAGUGAUGAAGCCCCUAGGGUUGUAAAGCUCUUUCAACGGUGAAGAUAAUGACGGUAACCGUAGAAGAAGCCCCGGCUAACUUCGUGCCAGCAGCCGCGGUAAUACGAAGGGGGCUAGCGUUGUUCGGAUUUACUGGGCGUAAAGCGCACGUAGGCGGAUUGUUAAGUUAGGGGUGAAAUCCCAGGGCUCAACCCUGGAACUGCCUUUAAUACUGGCAAUCUCGAGUCCGGAAGAGGUGAGUGGAAUUCCGAGUGUAGAGGUGAAAUUCGUAGAUAUUCGGAGGAACACCAGUGGCGAAGGCGGCUCACUGGUCCGGUACUGACGCUGAGGUGCGAAAGCGUGGGGAGCAAACAGGAUUAGAUACCCCUGUAGUC